UUUCUUUUCCUCCUCUUCUCAUUUUCUGGCUCUGGCAGUGACACGAGAGAUUCGAGAGACUUCAUCCACCGCCUUUCUUCCUUCUCAUUUCUGCUCAGGUGCAAUUGGCCACUGUGGCCGUGGUUCAGGGGGCUAACAAUCUUCCUUCUUCAUUUUUCAAGAUCAUCGAUUUCCUUCUCCUGUGCAGCACAUCCAUUAGCUAUUUUCUCUUCCAUCCGACGUCGGCGUCUGUGUGUGCGCGCAUGCUGCUGGAGACUUCAUCUUCCUCCUCCAUCCAAGCAGCUAUGAGUGUUCGCUGGAAUAUCCUUCCUUUACAUUUUGUUGCUGUGGUUUGCUACUGAAGGAGUUUCACCGGAUACCCAGCUCCUUCCUCCCCUGUUCUCGCAUCAAUUUUCCUUUCCUCUGCGUCUCUCGUCUCUUUUCUUCUCAGUCUUCACUGUUACCUCUGUCACUCAUCUAAUCACGAGCUACCAUGGGAUUUUCAUUGCGGAGCCAUGCAUGUCGUCUCUGUGCUCGCCGUUUUGUCUUCCCUGUUUGCUGCACCAUUUCUCUUCGUCCUUGUCUGUGCUGAUGGUGGCCGUGGGAUGCUAAGCUGCCGGGGAGGUAGUGCACGAAGAAGCUUUUAUUGCUACUGUUGGAAGUUUUCAUCAGCCUCUUCUCUCCCUUUCUCCAUUGCUGCAGUAACCAAAAUUAAUCCCUCCCCUGUUUAAAGCACGUUUGGAUUCUCCUUUCUUUCUCUGUCUUUAUUUCGCAUUAUGAGGUUUCUUUUUCUUCUUAAGCGAAAAACAGAGCAUCGCUCGGAUCCCAUUUAUUUUUUCCUUCUCUUCACCGACAUCAAGCUUCCUCCUUGUAGCUUCUCUUCUUUUCGUCAAUCAUCGUUAGGCUCCUUCUCCGGUAGUCAAUUUUCCGUCCGACAGGUGCAUGAGCUCCAGCCAUCGCGAUUAAGUCUUCAUCUUCCCCUGUUCGGACGUCGGGUUCCUCUUUCCUCUUCGAGCAGCAGCAACAAUCUGGUGCGUCACCUUUCUGGUGUGGAUGUUGGGUGCAUCGGACUUUUCCCUCCCUUGUUUCAAUGUCGACUGCCUCUCUUCUCCUUCCUCAUCUUUACAUGGUGACGCGUUCUUCUCCAUAUGGUUUUGAAUUCGCUGAUCUGUGCGUUGGAGCUUCAAGCUCUGCCUUUCAUUUGUUUCAACUGAUCGGGGUAUUUGUAAGAAGGAAAACAAGGUUGUAGUUAUCAGAAGUGAAUUUUGGCCUUGAAGGUAUACAAGUAAGUGAAUAGCACCCUAGUUAAUUUAUCAAUAAAAGUUUUUUAUUAAAAUUAUUACAUUUUUAUGUAUAUUAUUUUUAUAACAACUAUGAUAUAUAUUAGUUACUUUGUUAAUUAAAUUAUUUUUAUCAGCUUUAUUAAUUUUGGUUUUCUAAUAAUUGCAAGUAUGGACGUUAGUUAUGAAAUUUUAUUCUGACAAGCUUUUAAUGCUUAAAAUUUUUCAUGCGAGUUGGAUUUUGAGAAUAAAAAUUAUAUUUUUAUAGUAAUAAUGUUCUCGUAUGUUUGAAAAUGAAUUUAAAGGGGAACUUUAUACAAAACACUAGCUACUAACAGUAGUCCCAUUAGCCCUUGGCACGCCAUGGUCAAUGAUUAGUUAGUUUGAUUUUUAUAAGCUUUGUUUUCAUGUUUGUUGUUCAUGAGUUUCGUAUUCACAUUUGUUUUAUGACUCUGGCUGCAUUUGGUUAGUAUUACCCUUGUGAACUGUGUGUUUACGUUUAUUACCUAUUCUGUUAAGUCCUCAAAAUUUUAAAUUUUUAAAUUAACUGUGUAUUUGAAAUUUCAAUAGUUUUCAAUUAGUAAGUAUACUACUUUGAUUUACAUAUGGAUAAUUUUUUUUCUUCAAUCAUGAUAGAAUAAAGAAAUUUUUAGUUCACUCUUGUUUUAUAGUUAUGAUUAAGAUUUGCAUAUUUAUUAAGUUUAUUAUAUUGAAUUAUCAGCUUUUCAAUUAUUUUAUGUAAUUAUUUGAGUUUAUUGUUUUAAACUUUUAAAUUUUAUUUUUGGGGAUACUAUUUGCUGAAAAAUGUGUUGGUCUCAGAUUCAUUAGCUGACAUUAAAUCUCCUGUGGAUCAUUAAAGGAUUUAUCAAUGAUUGGGAAGUGGUGGAGCUGUAUAUUAAACUACCUUUUGAUGUAAAAACUUGAAUUAUGAAAUUAUAUUUUGUGAACUAAAUCCUAGGUGCUCCACAUUUGCUAUAGCUAGGUCCUUAUUUCUUCCAUUUGCUAGCUGGAAGAAGUUGAACUCUUGAAUGAUAUAAUAUUUUGUUUGAGGUAAUGUAUUGUAAAACUUUCAAUAGAUCCUAUUUAUAAGGGAGGUUUUAUCAAAAUUUUUACAAAAGUAUUAAAUCCUUUAUUAUAAUGAUUAUUAUCAAGAAUGUUAAAAUUUCAAUAUAAAUCAAAAUGUAUUUUAGAAACGGAAUGUAUUUUUGAUUUGAGGCUUACAGGAAUGUGUAUUGUGGUUAACAAUUCAUGCCGGUCACCCUCUAUUUUUGGAGUGUGACAGUGUUUAUUUUCUUUUUACCUAUAUCAACACUCUUUAUUGCCUCACUAGUGAACAAAUAAUUUUAAUCUUAAUUUGCCUGCUUUCUCUUAAGUGCCAAAGGUGGUUGCUUGUGUGAGGGAGCUAACCUUGUCAACCUUUAAAAUGUAUUAGACAUUGCAUGCUUUCACACACAUGGCAGUAAUGAGAAAAAUGCUUCUUAUCAAUAUAAUAAAAGAUAUCACAUCAAGUUUGUUACUUUAAAUUCUACACAUAUACCAAGAGCUUUUACAUGCUUUUCAAAUGCCUCCUUGACAAUAGGCUUAGUUAGGGAUUCUAUUAUCAUAAACUUUGUAGAAAGGUAUUGUAUAGUAACAAACUUAUAUGCUAUAUAAUCUCUCACAAAAUUGUAUUUGGUGUUUAUAUGCUUAGUUUUUCUACAGUACUUGGGAUCUUUGUGUAGGGGCUAUGAUUGCAACAUUGUUACAAUGAAUCAAUAUCAAAUUCGUAUUUUGAUUUUCAAACCUAAGAUGUUUUAAAAAUCUCUUCAACCAUGUAGCCUUCUAUUACAAACUUAGCUUCCAUAUAAUGUAAGGAAAUGAAUGUCACUUCUUAAUGAUCCAACAUAUGGCCUUGUUACUCAGUAAGAAAGUAUAACUUGAAGUCAAUUUUUGCUCAUGUUCAUCUCCUCACAAAUUUGCAUUGGAAUAUUCAACUAGGCAUAUAUCACUUCCUUCAUAACAUAGUAUAUACAUAAUCAACUAUUCCUUUUAAGUAUCUUAUAAUCCACUACUAUAUAAAAAAAAAAUCCUUUAAUUGAUGGUUAUUUUUUUUGAUUUGAUGAUUUUUGACUGCCAAAUAAGGUGACGUCAUAUAUUGAAGGCUCCUUUACUUGAUAGUCAAUGACCAUCAAAUAAGAGAGGCCUUACUUGACAAUUAUUUGGUGACACCUAUUAAAUUUUACCUUCCAAAUCUAACAUUCAGUCAAUUUUAAAAGGUAAUACUUGACAUUUAUUUACAUAUAACUAUCAAAUAUUAUGAAAUACUUGAUGGUUAUUUCACUUUAAACAUCAAGUAUUUAUGAUAAAAACUAGGCCUUGGGUUAGUAAAAAUUUAUCAAAAAUACCUUAUGGUUUAAAAAUUUAUCAAAAAUACCUUGAUUUAUAACUAUCAAAUAAAUGUCAAGUAUUUAUGAUUUUUUUUUGUAAACGGGGCUGCUGUAAAUUUUGUAAAAGACACUACCAAAAUAGCCCAGAAUACUUGACAACAACAAUCAUACACUAUAUUUCAUUAAAAUUCUUAUACAAUACAUGCCCAGAACCUAUAUAAACUCUGAACAAUAUAGAAUCUUACAACUAAUUUGCAAAUAAGAUUCCUAAGCGAAGGGCCUAAGACAUCAAAAUUAGACAAUAAAUUUAUAUCUAAACUAGGUGGGCGUAAUGACUAACGCUAUCCAAUGAUUGAAAGUUGUUAUUGUCACCUCCUAAAGGACUUCUUCAAUUUGCACAGCUGUAUACUUUAUGCAGUAAACGUCCUCAAAAUACUAUAUGUAAUUUAAAGAGAGCCACCAUGAGAUUAAGUUAUUAGUUAACUAAUUAAAGUUGAUUAUAAUUUAUAAUUUAAUGUAAUUAAGUUUUAUAUAUAUACCUUGUCAGGGAUUGUCUUUGGAGAAUGGGCUGUGAUGAUGUCCUUCAUGAAUCUCAUGAGGCAAUAGCCAUAAUCUUGACUUUAAUUUGGCUGUAGUAGACAAUAAAAAAAUAUUAAAGACCAAUGAAAUGAUAUAAUUUCCACUUAAAGAAAACUUUUCCUUAAGAUUCACUCAAAAUAAUUUGAGAAAGUAAAAGCUUUGAAACUCUCACAAAGAGUAAUUAUAGCAAUGAAAGCUUUUAAACACAGCAAGAGAGUUUUUCAAAAAAUUCAAUGCAAUUGGAUGAAAAUAAUGUUACCAACCAACUUAAAUGAUAUUCUAUAUAUAGUUUUCAGAAAGUUAUAUUUAUUAUAGAGACCUCAAACUAGCCGUUGAGAGCCGUUGGGAAGAGUGUAGAGUGAGUUUCUGUGAAAAAGUACUCUUUAUGUCAAAUGAAUUUAAUGUCUAUCAGAAGGCUCGUUAACAAGUGAAUGAAGCAAGCAGGCAUAUUUCUGGAAAAAGCAAAGGCUCAUUUUCGCGUGAAUGGGAGCACAGAAGUGAAUGAAUUCUCUGGAAGUUUGAUUCACGUGUGGGCUAGAAAUGAUUCGUGCGUGAUUGAAGUAAGGGGGGCAUAUGUGGAAGGCAUGAAACUUAGGAUGAUUCAAGUGAGGAGGGGGGCUUCACUGCGAAUGAAAGAGUGAACAAUUCAAAUAUUUUAUGGAAGGAUUGAUUCAUGCGUGGAUAGGAUAAGGUUUGUGUGCAUGGGAAGAUAGUGACUUGAAUGACACAGAGGACCUCAUUUACAUGUAAACCACUGUGUUCAGGUGUGAAUGGCUUUUGACAGACAGCUCAACUAAAUCCAACAUCUCAAUCAUGCGCGAAUCAUGCCUUUUGACAGACAGCUCAACUAAAUCCAACAUUUCAUUCAUGCGUGAAUCAUGGCUUUUGACAGACAGCUCAACCAAAUCCAACUUUUGAUUCAUGCGUGAAUCAUAUUGAUUCAUGCUUGAAUGGGCAGUUAGAACUAAGGGAACCAUUCCAGAAGCUCAUUGACACGUAGGUGAAUACUGAUUCACAUGUAAAUGAGCGCGCAGAGUCAGAAUUUAAUUUCAUUUCAGAUAGAUUAAUUCAUGCAUACAUGUAAUCAUGGUAAAAUAUUUGAAAUGAUUUUUCAUCCUAAGUUCAAGACUUCAAUGCAUAUUUCUGUCUCAAAAACCAUUUUCAUGCAUA